rnacentral:piRNA from 1 species
GCCUUCAAAGGCUGGUCGUUUGUCGG